rnacentral:hammerhead_ribozyme from 1 species
ACACUGCUGAGGAGUCCCAUACUAGGACGAAACGGUCGUUCAGUGC